GCCCAGAAUCUGACGGUCCAGAACCCAACAGCACGGCUCACAGCCAUCGACAAGACCUAUAAACUGUUGACAGUGUUUUUUUUUAAAAUUAUUAUGAUAAUUAUUAUAACAUAAUUAUUAUUAGAUAUUAUUAUGAUAUAAUUAUAAAUAUAAUUAUAAAAAUAAUAUAAUAUGAAAUAAAAAAAUAAAAGUCAUAAUUGCAGCAACAGG
rnacentral:lncRNA from 1 species